AAAGAUUCUUUUCAAUGCAAGACCAUAAAAUCCAUGUAUUAAAUACUACUAGAUUUCACUUUUAGCAUAAGUUGAAUCAAUGAUUUUCACACAUACCUCAGCAUUUCAGAAAUAUAAGAAAGUAUAAUUUUAAUAAUAGGUAAGAUGGGAGAAAGAGAGAAAGCUACAUAUAAGAAAAUAUAUGGAAAACAGCAAUAGGUAGAUUUUCAUGGUAAAAGAAAGAGAAAUAAAAAAGGCCUAAGUUAGAAAAGAAAAUGCAAGAGGAGUAGAGAAUGUUGGAGAGGAUCGAAACAACAGUGGCAGACUACAGCAUAAGUAAUGUUCUCACUAAAUUUUAGGAGUUUGGAAACUCAACAGAUGUUCAGAAGAUAGAUACAGGAGAUGAGAUAAAAUGUCUGAGCUAAAGCAGAACAAACAAAAUUUAUCAUUAAUGCUUGCAAUUCAAAAAACAUAUUUAUUUUAAAAUUAUUUUUAAAUUAUUUUGGAAAGGUGGUCUACUACAUUGCCCAGGC
rnacentral:lncRNA from 1 species